GCCUGCCCAGUGACUACGGGUUCAACGGCCGCGGUAUAUUGACCGUGCAAAGGUAGCGCAAUCACUUGUCUCUUAAAUAGAGACCUGUAUGAAUGGCUAGACGAGGGCUUAACUGUCUCCCCCUUCCAGUCAGUGAAAUUGAUCUAUCCGUGCAGAAGCGGGUAUAAUUCUACAAGACGAGAAGACCCUUUGGAGCUUAAGGUACAAAAUUCACCCAUGUUAAACAACUCCGUAGAAAGCAAGAACUUUGUGGAUAUGAAACUUUACCUUCGGUUGGGGCGACCACGGAGGAAAAACAAGCCUCCGAGUGGACUGGGCCAAAAACCCCUAAAGCUAAAAGAGACAUCUUUAAGCCGCAGAACAUCUGACCAAUAAUGAUCCGGCUAAGAAACCGAUCAACGGACCAAGUUACCCUAGGGAUAACAGCGCAAUCCUCUCCCAGAGCCCAUAUCGACGAGGGGGUUUACGACCUCG
rnacentral:rRNA from 1 species